rnacentral:rRNA from 1 species
GGCGUAAAGCGCGCGUAGGCGGUUCGUUAAGUCUGAUGUGAAAGCCCCCGGCUCAACCGGGGAGGGUCAUUGGAAACUGGCGGACUUGAGUGCAGAAGAGGAGAGUGGAAUUCCAUGUGUAGCGGUGAAAUGCGCAGAGAUAUGGAGGAACACCAGUGGCGAAGGCGGCUCUCUGGUCUGCAACUGACGCUGAGGUGCGAAAGCGUGGGGAUCAAACAGGAUUAGAUACCCUGGUAGUCCACGCCGUAAACGAUGAGUGCUAAGUGUUAGGGGGUUUCCGCCCCUUAGUGCUGCAGCUAACGCAUUAAGCACUCCGCCUGGGGAGUACGGCCGCAAGGUUGAAGCUCAAAGGAAUUGACGGGGACCCGCACAAGCGGUGGAGCAUGUGGUUUAAUUCGAAGCAACGCGAAGAACCUUACCAAAUCUUGACAUCCUCUGACCACCCUGGAGACAGGGUUUCCCUUCGGGGCAGAGUGACAGGUGGUGCAUGGUUGUCGUCAGCUCGUGUCGUGAGAUGUUGGGUUAAGUCCCGCAACGAGCGCAACCCUUAUCAUUAGUUGCCAGCAUUCAGUUGGGCACUCUAAUGAGACUGCCGGUGACAAACCGGAGGAAGGUGGGGAUGACGUCAAAUCAUCAUGCCCCUUAUGAUUUGGGCUACACACGUGCUACAAUGGACAGGUUACAAAGGGCAGCUAAGCCGCGAGGCCAAGCGAAUCCCAUAAAACUGUUCUCAGUUCGGAUUGGAGUCUGCAACUCGACUCCAUGAAGCUGGAAUCGCUAGUAAUC